rnacentral:rRNA from 1 species
AGGAGUUUGAUCCUGGCUCAGGAUGAACGCUAGCGGGAGGCCUAACACAUGCAAGCCGAGCGGUACUUCUUCUUCGGAAGAGAGAGAGCGGCGUACGGGUGCGUAACACGUGUGCAACCUACCUUUAUCUGGGGGAUAGCCUUUCGAAAGGAAGAUUAAUACCCCAUAAUAUAAUGAUUGGCAUCAAUUAUUAUUGAAAACUCCGGUGGAUAGAGAUGGGCACGCGCAAGAUUAGAUAGUUGGUGAGGUAACGGCUCACCAAGUCUGUGAUCUUUAGGGGUCCUGAGAGGGAGAUCCCCCACACUGGUACUGAGACACGGACCAGACUCCUACGGGAGGCAGCAGUGAGGAAUAUUGGACAAUGGGUGAAAGCCUGAUCCAGCCAUCCCGCGUGAAGGAUGACGGUCCUAUGGAUUGUAAACUUCUUUUGUACAGGGAUAAACCUACUCUCGUGAGGGUAGCUGAAGGUACUGUACGAAUAAGCACCGGCUAACUCCGUGCCAGCAGCCGCGGUAAUACGGAGGGUGCAAGCGUUAUCCGGAUUUAUUGGGGUUUAAAGGGUCCGUAGGCGGACCCGUAAGUCAGUGGUGAAAUCUCAUAGCUCAACUAUGAAACUGCCAUUGAUACUGCGGGUCUUGAGUAAAUUUGAAGUGGCUGGAAUAAGUAGUGUAGCGGUGAAAUGCAUAGAUAUUACUUANAACCCCAAUUGCNAAAGGCAGGUCACUAAGAUUUAACUGACGCUGAU